ACUCAAAUGAAUAGACGGGGGAGCGCACAACCAGUGGAGCAUGUGGUUUAAUUCGAUACGAAGCGUAGAACCUCACCUGGGCUUGACAUGAUACUGCUACUCCUAGGAAACUAGGAUUCUUUCGAAGGUGUAUCACAGGUGGUGCAUGGCUGUCGUCAGCUCGUGUCGUGAGACGUCUGCUUAAGUGCAGUAACGAGCGCAACCCUCGCCGUCUGUUGUAUUGUUCAGGCGGGACUGCCGUGCUGCAAGCACGGAGGAAGGAGAGGACGACGUCAAGUCAGCAUGUCCCUUACGUCCAGGGCCACACACAUCCUACAAUGGGAAGGACAACGGGUAGCGACGCCGCGAGGCUGAGCAAAUCCUUCAAACCUUCCCUCAGUUCGGAUUGCAGGCUGAAAUUCGCCUGCAUGAAGCCGGAAUUGGUAGUAAUCGCGGGUCAGCAGACCGCGGUGAAUACGUUCUCGCUCCUUGUACACACCGCCCGU
rnacentral:rRNA from 1 species